UUCAUUCAUGCAUUUUAUUACGUCGUUUUUCUCUCUGUGUAGAUAUGUUCUUGCUCGUGUAUUUUUACAUUUCUCUCGCAAGGUGUCAAGAUGUCGACGUCGAAUUGAAACGAAUACGGUAAUGAGCUGUGAAACAAUUAUCGUAAUUGGGUUAUGUCUAUGGUGAGCCUUACGGUAGUUGAUUUCUUCAACUUGGAGCUGUGUGCAUCAUGGACUGGAAAUUUUACCAAGCAGAUCGACAUAGAGUGGAGACGACAACGUCUGAAUCAGGUUGCCAUACAAUUGGAAAAUCAAUAUUGCAGUAUAAGACAUUGAACUCAUCAGCUGAGGAAACUCGACCAAAGUGCCGGAAAACACAUCUACUCGUACACACCUCCGUAGACUCUCCUGCAGAAAUACUGUAAUCGUAAAGCUUAUCCAGUGCUCGGAGUACCAUCGUAUUGAAG